rnacentral:rRNA from 1 species
AGCGAACGCUGGCGGCAGGCCUAACACAUGCAAGUCAAACGGAUCCUUCGGGAUUAGUGGCGGACGGGUGAGUAACACGUGGGAACGUGCCCUUUGGUUCGGAACAACUCAGGGAAACUUGAGCUAAUACCGGAUGUGCCCUUCGGGGGAAAGAUUUAUCGCCAUUGGAGCGGCCCGCGUCUGAUUAGCUAGUUGGUGAGGUAACGGCCCACCAAGGCGACGAUCAGUAGCUGGUCUGAGAGGAUGAUCAGCCACACUGGGACUGAGACACGGCCCAGACUCCUACGGGAGGCAGCAGUGGGGAAUCUUGCGCAAUGGGCGAAAGCCUGACGCAGCCAUGCCGCGUGAAUGAUGAAGGUCUUAGGAUUGUAAAAUUCUUUCAGCGGGGACGAUAAUGACGGUACCCGCAGAAGAAGCUCCGGCUAACUUCGUG